ensembl:lncRNA
AUACUCUGAAACGCUAUAAAUAAAGAACUGCCACAUACGCUGGUUGUGAGCCUGAGACAGCAGCGCCACCCAGCGUCAUGCACGUUGUUACCAUCUAAACUGUCUUGAGUGUCUUUAUUUCGCCUGAAGAAUGUCUUGUUUAAAUAUUUACUCCGUACAUUUAUUUGGUCCUUCGAGCCGGAUAGAGUGACCUCGUCGUUUCCUGGAUUCGUGAACCCACGCUGCAAAGUCUGUCAUGACAGCCUGUUUCUAGUGAAACAGUAAAGACCAACUACGUGAAUUCGCCGUUGGCCAGCGUUUUUAGCAAGAGGUCCACGAUCCCAGGGAGCGAGGAGGAUUCUGUCUGACCGGCAUUUUCAUCCGAAGCAGUUUCUUGCAGGUUGAAAAAGGGUUGAACCAAUCCAAGAACCACAAUCUCCCGAAUAGAAAAGUGAGCAGUAAAGUCUAGACUGCAGACCGCUCUAACCUCUGGUGUUCACUCGGUGGGGAGAAGGGCUAUCAGUGGCAACACUGAGACACUCGCUCCUCUUGCUGGGUGUCUACUCAUUGGAGGCCAAGGGUGUGUCCACGGUCGAGAAGAGGAGAAACGCUCACAGAGGGAGACCUGAUGGAGAUGGAAAUACUAAAUGCAAACCAGGAUGCCCCUGAGGGUGAGAAACCGCACAGACGACGUCGAUGCUGGACAAGAGGAUGCCAACUGACCACUGUCACAACGAUGUGUUCCAUGCUCGUGUUCACAGUAUUCUUAUCACUGGCCCUGGUAGGCAUGAACACGGCCUGCACCAGCAACCCAUGUGACCCACACUGCCCGGUUUACCGGCAGGCUCCAAAUGUGACGUGUCCUGAAAGGGGAACCAUUUUUAAGCUGCAGCCUAUGCCCAGAAGAACGCGCAGCGCAACGAGAAACAAAGAAGUGGAGAACAAUGCUGCACCUUCAUACCUAACAACACUGCAGCUGACGGCAGUCUGACCAGAGCCCUGGAAAGACUGAAGACCCUGAAUGAGAGAAUGAAAGAACAUUCUGGAGUGGACACUUCCAUGUGGGACAGCUGGAUGGACGUGUUUGGAAAGUACCGCAGCCUAGUGUCAUCAAUCCUAGUGUCAAUAGCUGUUUUUGCAGCCAUAUUGACCUUAUGUGGCUGUUGUUGUAUUCCUGCAUAAGAUCCAUGAUCAACAGACUGAUAGCCACAGCUAUUACACCGACCCUGUCGGCCAAAAAGAAAUUAUGACACUGCU